rnacentral:lncRNA from 1 species
CAGUCUCUCCUCCUCACAGAAGCCUGGAGCUGGGCAUCCAAGAAGAAGCAGCCUCAUUUGUUUUCUGGUGUCAUCGUAGGUGGCCACCUAUGGCUUUUGGGCUUCUCACCUGGGGCGGGUGGGUUCUGCACCACCCUCCCACCCUCCUUCCUCCGUGUGGACGAUAGAGCCACAUCCAGCACCACGGACAGCUCCCGGGCGAUCCCAUGGGAGUAGAAGAGGUGUGAGCAGGUUGCCCAGCUGGUUAGCGGAAAUGCCAAGAUCCAGGCUCCUGAAUUUCAGCCUGGCCCUUUCUAUCUGUCUGAUACCUCCUUUACGAGUCUCUCUGCCUGCGUUGUGUGGAGCGGGCCUGCUGCUGGUUGGGGGAGUUUGCAGGUUGCCCCUAUGCAAAAAAGGACAGGAUGCAUGACUGGCAUGUAAGGUGUUCAGGAAAACCAGGAAAAGCCUUCAUCUCCUCGUCCUCCAGGCAGCACAAGCCAUUGUGGAAUCUCCACCAGGUGUACAGAACGGUGCCUCUGCGUCCUGCCACUCAGGACCUCUCAAGUCCCCGAUGUGAUGGCUCCUCAGCAUGAUCAGGA